rnacentral:rRNA from 1 species
GAUGAACGCUAGCUACAGGCUUAACACAUGCAAGUCGAGGGGAAACGACAUCGAAAGCUUGCUUUUGAUGGGCGUCGACCGGCGCACGGGUGAGUAACGCGUAUCCAACCUGCCCACCACUUGGGGAUAACCUUGCGAAAGUAAGACUAAUACCCAAUGAUAUCCCACGAAGGCAUCCGAAUGGGAUUAAAGAUUUAUCGGUGAUGGAUGGGGAUGCGUCUGAUUAGCUUGUUGGCGGGGUAACGGCCCACCAAGGCAACGAUCGGUAGGGGUUCUGAGAGGAGGGUCCCCCACAUUGGAACUGAGACACGGUCCAAACUCCUACGGGAGGCAGCAGUGAGGAAUAUUGGUCAAUGGACGUAAGUCUGAACCAGCCAAGUAGCGUGCAGGAUGACGGCCCUAUGGGUUGUAAACUGCUUUUAUGUGGGAAUAAAGUCAGGGACGUGUCCCUGUUUGCAUGUACCACAGGAAUAAGGACUGGCUAAUUCCGUG